rnacentral:rRNA from 1 species
CGGGUGCACUGAUCCGGCCGGGCCUUUCCCUCUGUGGAACCCCAUGGCCUUCACUGGCUGUGCGGGGGAAACAGGACUUUUACUGUGAAAAAAUUAGAGUGCUCCAGGCAGGCCUAUGCUCGAAUACAUUAGCAUGGAAUAAUAGAAUAGGACGCGUGGUUCUAUUUUGUUGGUUUCUAGGACCGCCGUAAUGAUUAAUAGGGACAGUCGGGGGCAUCAGUAUUCAAUUGUCAGAGGUGAAAUUCUUGGAUCUAUUGAAGACUAACUACUGCGAAAGCAUUUGCCAAGGAUGUUUUCAUUGAUAAGGAACGAAAGUUAGGGGAUCGAAGACGAUCAGAUACCGUCGUAGUCUUAACUAUAAACUAUGCCGACUAGGGAUCGGACGAUGUUAUUUCUUGACGCGUUCGGCACCUUUCGAGAAAUCAAAGUGCUUGGGCUCCAGGGGGAGUAUGGUCGCAAGGCUGAAACUUAAAGAAAUUGACGGAAGGGCACCACCAGGGGUGGAACCUGCGGCUUAAUUUGACUCAACACGGGGAAACUCACCAGGUCCAGACACAGUGAGGAUUGACAGAUUGAGAGCUCUUUCUUGAUUCUGUGGGUGGUGGUGCAUGGCCGUUCUUAGUUGGUGGAGUGAUUUGUCUGCUUAAUUGCGAUAACGAACGAGACCUUAACCUGCUAAAUAGCCCGUACUGCUCUGGCAGUUCGCCGGCUUCUUAGAGGGGCUAUCGG